CCUGUCAAACUUAUUGGUGAGCGAGUUUGGUUUUUAAAACUCAUUUUUCACGUUAUUAAACGUGCCAUCCAGAAGUAAUGACAUUUUCCAUGUAAUUUGUCAAGCGUUUGUGAUUAGAUUAUGCGCAGUCAGUUAGCCAAAUUGAGUUCCUGUCACGUACUGAGGAAACAAAUUGGAAGGAAACUGUACACUGGCCUUAUGUUCAUUUUCUGAUGAGUAAGUACAUAUAGACUUCAUAAAGUGCAGAUAAUGCCUUCACGAACACGCUGUUAAUCAUCUGCAAAGCAUUCGCCAGAUGCAGUGACGGUGUUAUGCAACACUGCAGUGGGCUACAAUACAUUAUACAUUCGACUUGUGAUGCCACCGCUCUACCACAAAUUAAGUUUAUGUUCAGAAAUUUUUGUCACUCAGUGAACCCCUUAGAAGAGUUUGACUGAUGAUUAAGUAAGUUAAACGUGACUUUACACAUUACGUUCAUCCAAUCAACUUUACUAAUAGCCUACCUAUAUCGAAAAAUGCAAUUAAGAUAUUAUGUAAAACUCUGUUUUAUUAAUUUGUAUGUAUAUAUUAAUUUCAAAUGUGACGAAGUCAUGAAUGUAAAAUGAUCCCCCGAUUGGUUUUGCCAAUGUUUCUAACCAUCCAAGAAAACUAUUUGGUGGUCUGUGGGGGAGACGUCUUCUUUCCAACUGCUGCAAGCAUGAGAAAAAAAAAACCCCGAAAAAUCUGAAAAACAGAAAGUUACUGCUUUGCUAUUGGUCCGCUGGAUAUGCUUCAACCAAUCACCAGCUGAAUAUGGCGUAUCUUCUGCUGACAAUAAACGUGCUUUUAUGAUAAACUACCGAGAGGACCAAAAGUGACAUGAAGGAACAAGUCAAACCCAUCUCCCAAGAUGGCCUGGACUUCGAGAAACCGCAGGGGGCCCGGGGGGCCGUGUGGCUCGGCUCUUCACAGUCAGUGUGAACGGGACCAGCGCUCGGAGCCGGUCCUGGCGGAACACGGCGCACUCCCAAGCGCUCUGCGCCAGCGUGACGUUCCUCACCACGAGCCGGAACUCGCCCGCGUGCUUCUGUGCCUCGGGGUUGGAGAACAUCUGUUGACUCUGCGUGUCGAUCCACAGCAGUCUGGUGGACUCUUUCAGAUUGGAGUCCCAUUCCCACUUCGGAGGAAGAGUUGUCUCUGAUCUGCAACGUAACGCGGCAUCCAAUCCACGCGGUACCUGGAUGACUUCACCUUGUGGAACAAACAUUAAAAUGGUUUCCACGCAUUCACAAAU